CCUACGGGUGGCAGCAGUGGGGAAUAUUGGGCAAUGGGCGCAAGUCUUACCCAGCAACGCCGCGUGAAUGAAGAAGGCCUUCGGGUUGUAAACUUCUUUUAUGAGGGACGAGAAGAAGACGGUUCCUCUUGGAUUAGCCACGGCCAACAACGUGCCAGCCGCCGCGGUAAAUAGUAGGUGGCAAGCGUUGUCCGGAGUUACCGGGGUUAAAGGGCGUGCUGGCGGGAAGAGAAGUCGAAUGUGAAAUCCCGCGGCUCAACCGCGGAACUGCGUUUGAAACUGUUUUUCUUGAGUGCCGGAGAGGUCAUCGGAAUUCCUUGUGUAGCGGUGGAAUGCGUAGAUAUAAGGAAGAACACCAGUGGCGAAGGCGAAUGACUGGACGGCAACUGACGGUGAGGCACGAAAGUGUGGGGAGCAAACAGGAUUAGAUACCCCUGUAGUC
rnacentral:rRNA from 1 species